GCCUCUGUGGCCAAGUGGCAAGGCGUCUGUCUUGUAAACAGAAGAUCGGUGGUUCGAACCCGCCCAGGGGCA
rfam:Heterorhabditis bacteriophora unplaced genomic scaffold Scaffold1348, whole genome shotgun sequence.